GACGAACGCUGGCGGCGUGCCUAAUACAUGCAAGUAGAACGCUGAAGGAGGAGCUUGCUUCUCUGGAUGAGUUGCGAACGGGUGAGUAACGCGUAGGUAACCUGCCUGGUAGCGGGGGAUAACUAUUGGAAACGAUAGCUAAUACCGCAUAAGAGUAGAUGUUGCAUGACAUUUGCUUAAAAGGUGCAAUUGCAUCACUACCAGAUGGACCUGCGUUGUAUUAGCUAGUUGGUGGGGUAACGGCUCACCAAGGCGACGAUACAUAGCCGACCUGAGAGGGUGAUCGGCCACCCUGGGACUGAGACACGGCCCAGACGCCUACGGGAGGCAGCAGUAGGGAAACUUCGGCAAUGGACGGAAGUCUGACCGAGAAACGCCGCGUGAGUGAAGAAGGUUGUCGGAUCGUAAAGCUCUGUUGUAAGAGAAGAACGAGUGUGAGAGUGGAAAGUUCACACUGUGACGGUAUCUUACCAGAAAGGGACGGCUAACUACGUG
rnacentral:rRNA from 1 species